rnacentral:rRNA from 1 species
CGGGGGGAGCAAGCGUUGUUCGGAUUUACUGGGCGUAAAGGGCGCGUAGGCGGCCACCGCAAGUCGACUGUGAAAUCUCCGGGCUUAACUCGGAAAGGUCAGCCGAUACUGCGGGGCUAGAGUGCAGAAGGGGCAACUGGAAUUCUCGGUGUAACGGUGAAAUGCGUAGAUAUCGAGAGGAACACCUGCGGCGAAGGCGGGUUGCUGGGCUGACACUGACGCUGAUGUGCGAAAGCUAGGGGAGCGAACGGGAUUAGAUACCCCGGUAGUCCUAGCCUUAAACGAUGAAUGCUUGGUGUCUGGGGUUCUAUAGUCCCCGGGUGCCGUCGCUAACGCUUUAAGCAUUCCGCCUGGGGAGUACGGUCGCAAGACUG